rnacentral:rRNA from 1 species
AUGUUAGCGGCGGACGGGUGAGUAACACGUGGGUAACCUGCCUGUAAGACUGGGAUAACUCCGGGAAACCGGGGCUAAUACCGGAUGCUUGAUUGAACCGCAUGGUUCAAUUAUAAAAGGUGGCUUUUAGCUACCACUUACAGAUGGACCCGCGGCGCAUUAGCUAGUUGGUGAGGUAACGGCUCACCAAGGCAACGAUGCGUAGCCGACCUGAGAGGGUGAUCGGCCACACUGGGACUGAGACACGGCCCAGACUCCUACGGGAGGCAGCAGUAGGGAAUCUUCCGCAAUGGACGAAAGUCUGACGGAGCAACGCCGCGUGAGUGAUGAAGGUUUUCGGAUCGUAAAACUCUGUUGUUAGGGAAGAACAAGUACCGUUCGAAUAGGGCGGUACCUUGACGGUACCUAACCAGAAAGCCACGGCUAACUACGUGCCAGCAGCCGCGGUAAUACGUAGGUGGCAAGCGUUGUCCGGAAUUAUUGGGCGUAAAGCGCGCGCAGGCGGUUUCUUAAGUCUGAUGUGAAAGCCCCCGGCUCAACCGGGGAGGGUCAUUGGAAACUGGGGAACUUGAGUGCAGAAGAGGAGAGUGGAAUUCCACGUGUAGCGGUGAAAUGCGUAGAGAUGUGGAGGAACACCAGUGGCGAAGGCGACUCUCUGGUCUGUAACUGACGCUGAGGCGCGAAAGCGUGGGGAGCGAACAGGAUUAGAUACCCUGGUAGUCCACGCCGUAAACGAUGAGUGCUAAGUGUUAGAGGGUUUCCGCCCUUUAGUGCUGCAGCAAACGCAUUAAGCACUCCGCCUGGGGAGUACGGUCGCAAGACUGAAACUCAAAGGAAUUGACG